rnacentral:rRNA from 1 species
GGUGAACGCUGGCGGCGUGCUUAAGACAUGCAAGUCGAACGGCAGUCUUCGGACUGUAGUGGCGCACGGGUGAGUAACGCGUAACUGACCUACCCCAAAGUCGCGGAUAACGAUUCGAAAGAAUCGCUAAUACGUGAUGUGCUGUCAGAUCCUGUUCUGCCAGUAAAGAUUGAUUGCUUUGGGAUGGGGUUGCUUUCCAUCAGCUAGUUGGGGGGGUAAAGGCCGACCAAGGCGACGAGGGAUAGGCGGCCUGAGGGGGUGGCCGGCCACAGGGGCACGGAGACACGGGUCCGACUCCUACGGGGGGCAGCAGUAGGGAAUCUCCCGCAAUGGGCGAAAGUCUGACGGAGCGACACCGCGUGGAGGACGAAGGCCUUCGGGUUGUAAACUCCUUUUCCAGGGGAAGAAUAAGGGUAAGAGGAAAUGCUUAUCCGAUGACGGUACUCUGGGAAUAAGCCACGGCUAACUCUGUGCCAGCAGCCGCCGUAACAC